rnacentral:rRNA from 1 species
GAUGAACGCUGGCGGCGUGCCUAAUACAUGCAAGUCGAGCGAACAGACGAGGAGCUUGCUCCUCUGACGUUAGCGGCGGACGGGUGAGUAACACGUGGAUAACCUACCUAUAAGACUGGGAUAACUUCGGGAAACCGGAGCUAAUACCGGAUAAUAUAUUGAACCGCAUGGUUCAAUAGUGAAAGACGGUUUUGCUGUCACUUAUAGAUGGAUCCGCGCCGCAUUAGCUAGUUGGUAAGGUAACGUCUUACCAAGGCAACGAUGCGUAGCCGACCUGAGAGGGUGAUCGGCCACACAGGAACUGAGACAAGGUCUAGACUCCUACGGGAGGCAGCAGUAGGGAAUCUUCAGCAAUGGGCGAAAGCCUGACGGAGCAACGCCGCGUGAGUGAUGAAGGUCUUCGGAUCGUAAAACUCUGUUAUUAGGGAAGAACAAAUGUGUAAGUAACUAUGCACGUCUUGACGGUACCUAAUCAGAAAGCCACGGCUAACUACGUGCCAGCCGCCGCCGUAA